AACGAACGCUGGCGGCAUGCCUAACACAUGCAAGUCGAACGAGACCUUCGGGUCUAGUGGCGCACGGGUGCGUAACGCGUGGGAAUCUGCCCUUCGGUUGGGAAUAACUGAGAGAAAUUUCAGCUAAUACCUUAUAAUGUCUUCGGACCAAAGAUUUAUCGCCGAGGGAUGAGCCCGCGUAGGAUUAGGUAGUUGGUGGGGUAAUGGCCUACCAAGCCGACGAUCCUUAGCUGGUCUGAGAGGAUGAUCAGCCACACUGGGACUGAGACACGGCCCAGACUCCUACGGGAGGCAGCAGUGGGGAAUAUUGGACAAUGGGCGAAAGCCUGAGCCAGCAAUGCCGCGUGAGUGAUGAAGGCCUUAGGGUUGUAAAGCUCUUUUACCCGGGAUGAUAAUGACAGUACCGGGAGAAUAAGCCCCGGCUAACUCCGUG
rnacentral:rRNA from 1 species